AGUCACAAUUAAAGUCAGUCUAACACUACACAUCUUUCAGAGAGUAUCAAAAUUGUUCAGAUUUUUUUUUUAAAACCCGGUUUCAGCAAAACUUAAAUCAUGAUUGAGUUAAACCACGAGAAUGCGAUCGAGCAGACGCAUAAUACAAUGCCAGCACCUUUAGAAUCGGAGACGACUUCCGAUGUGCCACAAACUUCUGUGCAGUCAUUGCAACGGCCCAGUGGACUUUUAAAUUGGUUGUCUGGAUUAUUAACGAGUCUGCUUCCAUCCAGGUGGAGAAACUGAUUUCUACUUUUCAAAUUAAUCAAAAUAUUUAAGUUUCCUCAAGUUAAACAUUAAACUGAAUUGGUACAUCAACGAAACAAUCGAAACAUUCUUCUUAUUGCAUUUCACCAGCAAUCAGUGCAGAAAUCAAGACUCAAUUUCGCAUUGACUUUAUUGAGUAAUCUGCUAACACAGUUUAAUGAACAGCCCGAGGCAAUCACACUGUCAUCGAUGUGGUGGCAGCGUUAUCCUUUCAAUUCUUCUCUGGUCAAAUGUACAUAACUAUUUACGGGAUUAGCUAAAUGCUAGUGCAAAUAUUUUGGCGAUUAAAGUUGAUUGCAUUGUGUGUUGCAGCAGGUGCAG